UACGGGGGGGGCAAGCGUUGUUCGGAAUUACUGGGCGUAAAGGGCUCGUAGGCGGCCAACUAAGUCAGACGUGAAAUCCCUCGGCUUAACCGGGGAACUGCAUCUGAUACUGGAUGGCUUGAGAUUGGGAGAGGGAUGCGGAAUUCCAGGUGUAGCGGUGAAAUGCGUAGAUAUCUGGAGGAACACCGGUGGCGAAGGCGGCGUCCUGGACCAACACUGACACUGAUGAGCGAAAGCCAGGGGAGCAAACGGG
rnacentral:rRNA from 1 species